rnacentral:misc_RNA from 1 species
UCCUGGUUUCCCAGGCAGUCCCAUCAGAGUGCUCCCGUGAGGGAUAGCAACUGACGGCAAGAGUUGCGCUCGUUAAAGGACUUAACCCAACAUCUCACGACACGAGCUGACGACAGCCAUGCAGCACCUGUGAAUCUGUCCAGACUUACGCCUGGAAAGCUCUAUUUCUAGAGCGGUCAGAAACAUGUCAAGCCUAGGUAAGGUUCCUCGCGUAGUGUCGAAUUAAACCACAUGUUCCACCGCUUGUGCGGACCCCCGUCAAUUCCUUUGAGUUUUAAUCUUGCGACCGUACUCCCCAGGCGGAUCACUUAACGCGUUAGCUACGACACUCGCCCAUAAAGGGCAAUCGUCUAGUGAUCAUCGUUUACAGCGUGGACUAC